GGUAUCUGUCUUUGUGAUUUUUUGUAGAAUGGAGAUGCCAAUAAUUAUGACUAGCAUCCGAAAUUUGAGUUUCAGAAAAGAUACCUAAAUUAAUCUUGAUGUUUUGGAAUUGAUUUUGUGGGUGGUGUGCAAGGUUCACCAACUACAAUUUAUGAGACAGAGAUCAUAGUAGCAGGCUAACUCAAGUUAGAGAUCAGCAUGUUGAAAGCUCCUUUCACCUAAAAAGAUGAGCUAACAUUUUUUCUCUCGGAUCUCUACUUGGAUUUCGCUUUUUGCCCCAUAAAAGGACUAAGAGAUUCAUGAAGAGUUUUAGCAUGGCUCCAUCUCUCACUAACCAUGAUGGAAUGGAAGUUUGGUCCAUGUUUCAUUUGAUGCUGAAGAAAUAUUGUUGCACUCGGAACAAUGGGUUGAAGCUGGUUAUGUCAGUAUGUCAGUCAAUUUACAGAAUUCCAGUUGUCUGCCAAACGAGAUUCUGUAUUAUCAACGUUGAAACUGCAAUUCAAAGUUGAAGUAGAUAAAUCUCAGCUUUAGAAUUUAUGGCUGAUAAAUAUUACCAUCUGAAUCUAUUGUAGAAUAAAUAUGAAUGCAAUAUAAUGUCAGGGUGUGUGUCUUAGCUUCCAAGUUCGAUUGCUAUCAAAA